AUCUUGUCACAGCCUGCCUCAAGAUGAUGUGCCUUGCUCUCUGUGGCCAAAGAGCUGCUGCCACACGUUUUCAGACAAUCAUGAUACAGGCGGACCCAAUUGGAUGCAGGUGGAUUCAGUUGGAUACAGGUGGAUCCAAUUUGUCCUUCAAUCCAAGCACCAUCACCAUUGGCCAAUCAAGAAACCACCCUUUGCCUGUCCCAGGAUGAUGCCUGGUAAAGUUGUGCCUUGCUCUCUGUGGCCAAAGAGCUGCUGCCACACAUUUUCAGAUAAGAAAAAUGGAAAGUAGCUGGGAAAAGUUAUUUUCAAAUUAGCUUUACUGUAAGAUUUUUCAUUUGUGGGUUGUACUAAAAGAUUUUCAUUCUUGAAAUUAGCAAUACUGCAGUUUCUGAAAUAUAACAAAUUAUAUUCUUUAUAAAUUUUUUAAAACUUAUUUGAAGCAGUUGAUUGUAAGUUCUGUUUUGAAGUUUUGGAUAAAAGAAUCAUAGUAUGUCAGAUAACUUGUCAAAAUCUUGUGCCAAAACCAUUUCAUUCGUUUUGGAGUUGUCAAAGUGAGGUUUUCAAGAGUUUUCACAGAUUUUAAGGGAUUUUUUUUUGCUUCCCUGAUAGAUAAUUCUGUUUGUACUGUUUUCUCAGUUGCCAUUCAUGAUUCCUUAUAUACUCAAAUAUGUUACUCAAAGAACCCAUAUGGGGAGGAAAUAAUUAUUAGAGAUCUUUUUUGCCCUAAUUUUCUUACAGGUAAUUAUUAUAAUAAUUAUAUUUCUUAAUACUCUUUAAAAAAUGAAAGGAAUGCUGGAUUUCUCUGUGUUAGAUGGACAUCAGAAGGUUUUUCUAGGUUGUGGAAGAUCUCCAUGUGUUAUACUGCAUUUGAACUACAGAGUGCUUGAGCCUUCUGUUUCUAUCUUGGAGGAAAAAUAUUUAAUGCAUUUGAUAUUCUGCUCUUAAACAGAGAUAUCAAUAUGAAAUAAAAAAUAGAUAUAUGCUAUACUG